CUGAGUUACUAUUACUUGGAGAAAGGGACUGAAAUUUACACAUAUCAGUAUGUAAUUGUUCCACGGUAUCUCUCAUUAGGGAAUUGGAUAGAAAAGCCUUUAUUACUAUUAUUUUUUAAAUUUUAUUUUGUAUUGGGACAUAGCCGAUUAAUAAUGCUGUGAUGGUUUCAGGUGAACAGCAAAGGGACUCAGCCAUCCAUACACGUGUAUCCACUCUCCCCCAAACUCCCCUCCCAUCCAGGUUGCCACAUGACAUGGAGCAGAGUUCCCUGUGCUGUCCAGCAGGUCCUUGCUGGUUCUUCAUGUUAAAUACAGCAGUGUGUCCAUGUCCAUCCCAGACUCCCUGACUAUCCCUUCCCCCAUCCUUCCCCCUGGUGACCAUAAUGUUAUUACAGAGGAUUGAGCAGAGUUCCCUGUGCUGUCCAGCAGGUUCUUGCUGGUUCUCUAUAUUAAAUCCAGCAGUGUGUCCAUGUCCAUCCCAGACUCCCUG
ensembl:lncRNA